rnacentral:rRNA from 1 species
AAGGCCCAGACAGCCAGGAUGUUGGCUUAGAAGCAGCCAUCAUUUAAAGAAAGCGUAAUAGCUCACUGGUCGAGUCGGCCUGCGCGGAAGAUGUAACGGGGCUAAACCAUGCACCGAAGCUGCGGCAGCGACACUCAGGUGUUGUUGGGUAGGGGAGCGUUCUGUAAGCCUGCGAAGGUGGCCUGUGAGGGUUGCUGGAGGUAUCAGAAGUGCGAAUGCUGACAUAAGUAACGAUAAAGCGGGUGAAAAGCCCGCUCGCCGGAAGACCAAGGGUUCCUGUCCAACGUUAAUCGGGGCAGGGUGAGUCGACCCCUAAGGCGAGGCCGAAAGGCGUAGUCGAUGGGAAACGGGUUAAUAUUCCCGUACUUGGUGUUACUGCGAAGGGGGGACGGAGAAGGCUAUGUUGGCCGGGCGACGGUUGUCCCGGUUUAAGCGUGUAGGUGUGUGUUCCAGGUAAAUCCGGUUCACUUUAACACUGAGGCGUGAUGACGAGGCACUACGGUGCUGAAGCAACAAAUGCCCUGCUUCCAGGAAAAGCCUCUAAGCAUCAGGUAACAUCAAAUCGUACCCCAAACCGACACAGGUGGUCAGGUAGAGAAUACCAAGGCGCUUGAGAGAACUCGGGUGAAGGAACUAGGCAAAAUGGUGCCGUAACUUCGGGAGAAGGCACGCUGACACGUAGGUGAAGUGAUUUACUCAUGGAGCUGAAGUCAGUCGAAGAUACCAGCUGGCUGCAACUGUUUAUUAAAAACACAGCACUGUGCAAACACGAAAGUGGACGUAUACGGUGUGACGCCUGCCCGGUGCCGGAAGGUUAAUUGAUGGGGUCAGCGCAAGCGAAGCUCCUGAUCGAAGCCCCGGUAAACGGCGGCCGUAACUAUAACGGUCCUAAGGUAGCGAAAUUCCUUGUCGGGUAAGUUCCGACCUGCACGAAUGGCGUAAUGAUGGCCAGGCUGUCUCCACCCGAGACUCAGUGAAAUUGAACUCGCUGUGAAGAUGCAGUGUACCCGCGGCAAGACGGAAAGACCCCGUGAACCUUUACUAUAGCUUGACACUGAACAUUGAGCCUUGAUGUGUAG